GACGGCGGGAGUACUUGCCUGCGAAUGAAUCUAAGUUAGCUUCUGCUUUCGGUUCUCUAUUUAUUAUAGCGUACAAAAUAGGUCACUCAGAUACCUUUAGAAGGUUCACUUUGUAGCUCAGAUCUACUCUUUCAGUACAGGCACUGGUUGCUUUCAUUAUUCCAGAUACCUUGAGAAGUUUACUUCUAACCUUCAGUGCUAAUAUUUUGUUUCCAGUUGGGAGAUGCAUUUUAAUUGGAGAAAGAUUUCAAGCACUAAGCCAGACGGUUACAUCAGCACCAAUGGGAUCUGGAAGAUCGAUUGUAGACAAAGGACCUUGCUGUUUUUAGUCUGAUCGAUUGCAACUUUUCAUGUAUCAAGCAAACACCAGUUGAAAAUGCCCAAGCUUUGAGCGAAUUCUUAUAGCAUUGUACUCUUGUCUGUAGAUCUAUUGCAUGCCAUAGAUUAUGCAACCUGUGCACUCGUAAACCAUGCACAUAACUUGGUUUUCUUUUAUCAGAUUUUGCGGACCACACUAGCCUAGGGUGCUGAAAGAAAAGUAGAAUCCAUGACAUAUAAAAACACCUAUGAUAAACUGCAGGUAUUUAGUGAGGAUGCAUGUCCACAUGUUUUCAGCAACCAAAUAUUGCAGAGGUUUUGUCUUUAGUAGUUGCUGAAUUAAACUGAUCAAUUCCUUUGGUGAUACUUCAUAGCUAGCUCUUUGGUGAUACUUCAAUCCUUCAGGUCUCUCUUAACGGACUCCUUCCAUGUCAAAUUCGGUCUACCCCGCUCUCUCUUGACAUUCUCCGCACGCUUUAGCCGUCCGCGAUGCACCGGAGCUUCUGGAGGCCUGCGUUGAAUAUGCCCAAACCAUCUCAGACAAUGUUGGACAAGCUUCUCUUCAAUUGGUGCUACCCCAACUCUAUCUCGUAUAUCAUCAUUCCGGGCUCGAUCCUUCCUCGUGUGGCCACACAUCCAUCUCAAUGCAUCUCCGCCACAACUAACUGUUGCACAAUCAAUAUGAAAAAAACUGUUGAAAUUUUUAAAAAGUUCAUAGAUAUUCAAAAAAGUUCACGAAAUUUUCAAAAAAGAAAAUGUCAAUUGGCGCCUAGAUGGGCCGGCCCAUUUAUGGACGCUACACGCGCCAGUUAACGAAAAUGCAUGUUAACUGGCGCAUGUGGCGCCAAAUAGGAAAUGCCCUCUCAACCAGCUGGGAAACACAUUGCAUGAUUAAAUUCACCCAAUUCUCUUCAAAUCCCAAUUUUAAUAUAUUUUCCUUUAAAAAGACCCAUUCCACUCUAAUGUAUGCCUUGCGCAUGUCCAAUUUGAUGGCACAUAGACCCUCUUUACCAAACCAUUUUUUCUUUAUUGGAUGAAAACACUCAUAAGACACUAAUAUAUUAUUCGUAGUCAUUCUUCUAGGCACAAAAGCGCUCUAAGUUGGGCUGUUAAUAUCUGUUAGGAUUAUCUUCAAACGAGAAGCAAUCAUCUUGGAAAUUACCUUAUACACCAUAUUGCACAAGCUAAUUGAUCUAAACUGAGUUACCUUUUCUGGAGCAUUAACCUUUGGGAUCAUUACAAUAGCAGUAUCAUUACACCCCUCUGGAAUGGAGCAAGUAUUCAUCGCCUGGAGAACCUCCUCAGUCAAAUCAUCUCCCAACAUAGACCAGAAUCUUUUAUAAAAAAUAGCAGGAAGGCCAUCAAGACCCGGCGCUUUUAAAUCUCCAAUGUCGAACAAGGCUUUUUAGACUUCCUCAGCCGUAUAAGGGGCUAGAAGAGCAUUAUUCAUUUCUUCUGUUACUUUCGAACGUCCUGGUUCAGUUGGGUUACUUAUGAGGUAAACAGAUUCAAAAAUCCUUCAUCUUCGUUCCAUGGACCCAAACAUCAUUUUCAUCAUAUAAUUUUUUAAUCUGAUUUCUUCUCUUUCUGGCCGUUGUCUAUGCAGCAUAUAUGUUGUACUAGGUGUUUCGUUAAAGAGGGAACAUUUCGACAUUAAUUUUCAUGCCAUACGGCUAGAUGAUCAACAUAACUUCUGUACCUUCAACCCACUAGGCACCAAACCUAGGGUUUGAUGGCACGUGUGUCAUAUUAAGGUGGACUAUUCCUUCAGUGAGAGAUGACAAAAGAAUCUCACUUAUGGCAACACAUCCGUGGUGACUUCAUAAAUCUUGGAAGGAAAGGAUGGCAAUCGAGCGAACGAUCGAUCGCUGCCACGUGCAACAUCUCUCUCGUACCUUGCCCACAACAUCCUACCACUCUCCCUUGCUUGUCAAUUCCAUAUCCCUUCACUUGGGCCCACGUGCCGUGAACAUUUCGUGUAAAAACGAGGCUGAGACUAUUCGAAACGAGAGGAUGUUCUUCUCUUUCGUUAGCAUCCCCUUUCCUUUUCUCCUUCCCACCUGCUCCUUCCUCCUUUUAGAUCUAGAUUGAGUCCGUUAUAGGAGCAGCGCAUGCCGUUGGCGUUGAGGAGCACUGCCAUAUCUCCACACAACAUGGGGACUAGGGAUGAUGCACAUGAAUUGGAUGAAUCUUGUCAAUGUGCCUACUAGGCUUUUGGUCGUCGAUCGAGGAGAUGAUCCCUAGCUCGUCCUACGGAGCAGCGGCCCAAUUAUGUUGCCCGAGUGGAUUGCACGAAAUGACGCGAUAAAAACCUGCUAAGACGAUCGGUAGGAGAGUUACAAAAUCUCAGACAUUUCUUUGUUGGAUCCAACGCCCGAUGACGCCAUGUGGUGGCUCGUAGGUGGUUCAAUUUCAAAGAAGAUAGAACUUUCAUUUUUUUUAACACAAUACAGACGAGGACGCUCAUACAUAUGCAUACACAAUCACAGUUAUGAAUGCACACACGCACUCCCUAUGAGCACCUCCGAAAGACUAAACCAACCCAUCAUCAUGAGAUUGACUAAGCCACCACAGGCGCCUUCGUCUUUGACGUGACUGUCUACUCCCACUGAACGAGCAUCGGCGGAAAUCCUCAACUAAAUCCGAAAAAAAUGUGAGAACAUGUGCCAACUCUAAGAAUGGAACCCUGGUGGUCUGGUUCCACCACAAAGAACCUAACCAUGUGAUCUAGGCUCAGUUUGCUUCACCUUAUCAAUCUUGAAGCUCUUCAUGUCAAGUUUUUCGUAGAUAAGUUGUGUGAGUGCAUGGAUGUGCAUACAUCUAUUUUGUACUUAUGUUUAUUUACGGGUGCAUCGCUGCUUGUAGUGAGACAUUAGCUUGCGUUACCUGAAGGGGGGCACACGGUGGGCCAGCACAUAUAAACGGACGUUGGUCGUCACAUUGAAGUCAUGUGUAUGUCACACAAAUUAAUUUUUCUUCUCUUUUUACUCUUAUAUUAAAUGCUUAUAUUUCAAAAACUUAAAUUUACUUAAGAAAUUUAAAACCUCAAAAUGUUGAUAACUUUCAAAUAAAUGUUCCCAUGUUAAAAAAACAUAUGAGAUUUUUUUAAUGUGUAUACAAUGUAUAAAAAUGCUUAUGCAAUGUAAAAAAAUUGUUUCGUACCAUGAAAAAAUGUACGUGACAUUUUAUGGAAAUAUUGCCUCCUUCCAAAAAAAAGUUUGUGACAUUUAAAAAAAUGUUAUAUAAAAUAAAAAGUUCUCAUAGGUUCAGAAAAUGUUUAUUGCCAUUCAGAAAAUGAAAGUCACAUUUUAAAGAAAUACUCACAUGUUUCCAAAUAAUGUAUAUGAAAUUUUCAGAAACAUUUAUAUAGUGUAAAAAUAAUUUAUUUAGUUUAAUAAAAAUACAUCACAUUUAAAAAAACUCACAUUCUUCCAAAUAAUGUAUGAUUUUUUUUAAAAAUGUUUAUAAAAUGUAAAAGAAAAUUAGUGUAGUUUGAUAAAAUGUUUAUUGACAGUAAAAAUGUACGACAUGUACAUGGAAAAUGUUACAGUCUAUUGUGUAUAGAGCAUGUAUCUUAAAAAAAACUGCAUGUACUAAAAAAAUGUCAAACGUGUGUAUAGGAAAAUGUUUCAUGUUGCUCUAGAAAUGUACAUUGUGCACUGAGAGAAAGUAGACAUGUGUUAAAAAAAUUGGUAAGAAAACGACAAAGGAAAAAAGAAAAGCAAAGAAAACAAAAAAGAGAUACAAAGAAUACCAAAACAUAGCAAAGAUGAAAGAAAACCCAAAAAACAUGGGAAAAGAAAAAAAGUAAAAUGAUGAAGAAAAAAAUAAAACCAAAGCAAGCGGGUGAAAAAAAAAAGGUAAACAAAAAUGAAACGAAAAACGAAGAAAAUUGGAGCGAGUGAACCUACAACGAUUGCUACGAGCGGCAGCGAGCAACCAUGUUAAAUUGGCCGGCCCACUAGUAAUUACUCGUAGGCGAUUCCUAUUAAAAAAAUCAGUACGGGUGACACAUAUAUCGUGUCUAUCUACCACCACAAGUGCAGAGCUGAUCUUUGUUUUGCAAGGGACUGUCUAGGGGUAGGUCGACUGGAAAACAAAUUUGGGCCAGCCGGUUGGUUUUGAGUUGUCUGAUGAAAAAAUGACUGCCCUCUUCAACCGCAUGUCCUCGCGUUCAUCUUCUUCGCCAACCUCCCCACAGACCACAUGUCGACCAUAACAACUUCUGGUCACAGGCAGUGGCGUUCCCGCGCUACCCUCGCCGUCCCGCUCUCCGCUCACCGUCGUCGACCGCCGUGCUUGUGCCGCUUCUGACAUCCCUCUAGAACGGUGAACGGGGAGAUUUUUUUCCGGUGAGUCCNNNNNNNNNNNNNNNNNNNNNNNNNNNNNNNNNNNNNNNNNNNNNNNNNNNNNNNNNNNNNNNNNNNNNNNNNNNNNNNNNNNNNNNNNNNNNNNNNNNNNNNNNNNNNNNNNNNNNNNNNNNNNNNNNNNNNNNAACCAUCAAGUUUCUUACUCGCCUGGCCAAGGCCUUGCUGGCGUCGCGAUGCCUGAUCUCUUUGCUCGUCCCGACACCAUCGACGACUUUGGUGUUGCAAAUUGGCGCUUGCUUCCUUCUCCACCGAAUUGACCCACCCAAAUUUGAAAUCCAGGGGACUGACGACAAGCUAAUCUGGUUUUGUAAACCACUCAAAAUUAGCAUCCGAAGAAAGCAAUAUACAAUUCUAAGGUAGGAAAAUAUUAAGGUAGCUGCAACCAAAAGAAAUCAGAGCCGCUCCAGUACUGUUGUCACGAUCGAGGCAAACGAAAUGGCACUACUCUACUAAGGGUUAGUUCUUUUGCUAGUUUUUUUGGGCUUCCAGAAUAAGCUGCCCCCUACACAGCUUAUUCUAGAAGCCCAACCAAAAUUUUCUUUUUAGAAUCCUACUAGUCAAGUCUUAACUAUUAGGCUUCUAAAAAAAUAAAUUUGGUUGAGCUUCUAGAAUAAGCUGGAUAGGGGACAACUUUUUGCAGCUUAUUUUAGAAGCCACCAAAAGAACUGGCCCUAAGCAUGUGCUAUUUCCCCUCCCUGGAUAAUCAACAUGUUCUUUCUCCACCAUGCUAUCCUCGUGCAUGCGUGCGUGCAUGCACUGGCGGAGACAGGGGGAGACGAGCAGGGCCCUGCCCCCCCUAUCGAUCGAGCGUACAGGGCACAUCGGUAUGGAAUUUGGUGUAGAAACGGGGAACUCCUAUACGGCGCUGCAGGCGCCCGUUCGCGCUCCUGGCGCCUGCAGUGCCCCGCGCUGGGCCGGCCCACGAACAAGCAGCAGCAGCAAAAAGUCCUAGGAAAAAUGUUAAUUGCGUUGGGGAUUCGAACUCGCGCCGCUGCAUCUUGCACGCGCUUUGCUAGCCACUGCAGCCACCUCAUAAUACUUACCACUGGUAUUGCGUGUUAUUUAAGUAUAAUUACAGCUGCUCUGGUCCAAAAUUUAGAAGUUCCCAGAUUAAAAGAAAGUUCACGAAUUGUUUCAAAAAGUAAUGGUUUAGAUAUUAAAAAAAAGCUCACGAAAAUUGAAAAAAGUUCACUAGUUCAAGAAAAAGUUCAUAAAUUUGAAAAGGUCCACUAAUUUCAGAAAAGUUAACGAAUUUAAAAAAGUUCAUGAGUUUGAAAAAAGUUCAUGGAUCGAAAAAGUUCACGAAAUUCAAUAUAGUUCAAGAAAAUUGAAAAAAGUUUGUCAAUUUUCAUAAAAGUUCACGAGUUUGAAAAAAGUGCAUGGAUAGAAAAAGUUCACAAAAUUCAAUAUAGUUCAAGAAAAUUGAAAAAGUUCAUCGAUUUUCAUAAAAGUUCACGAAUUUUGAAAAAGUUCAUUGAUUUAGAUAAAAAGUUUAUCGGAUUUUGAAAAGAGUUCAUUGAUUUCGAUAAAAGUUCAACGAAUUUGAAAAUAAUUUCAAUGAUUUUGAAAAAAGUUCAUCGAAUUGAAAAAAAACGUAAAAGAAAGCUAACACAGAAAAAUAGAAAAAGGUAAAUAGGAAACGGAUAAAGUAAGGUAAAAGUUCAUUCUAAACGAAUAAGGUGGGUUGGCGUGCUGGUUGCACCCGCGGUACUACGUGCGGGAGGUUCCUAGUUCGAAUCACAGCUAACAUAGUUUUUUUUACUGAUUAAAACGGAAAAAAAAAAGCUAUUGGGCCGGCCCAUCGCGCGAGCGCUACAGGCGCCGGUUCGCAAGCGGGCGCAUAUGCGCCAAAUAGGAAAUCCUGUAGAAACGUACGCAUACAUGUAUUCGGCCCCCCCUUUUCGGGCUGUCUUCCAUCGUUUCACUUUUUUCUUGAGUGGUGGGUGUCUGUCUUCCAUCGUGACCAUUGUAAAAGAGAAAAUAGGCCCAUGUGAAAGGCCCAGUAGGCACCAACAGCGGCUGAUUGGCUCUAGUCUGGGCUGUGCAUGAUUCUCAAAAAAAAGUCUGGGCUGUGUGUUCUACCUGGAACCGUAAUUAGUGUAUACAAUCCAUUAGUCCGUAGAAUCAGUUAUUUUCUCUCCCCGACGGCGAUAGCCUAGGGUUUCGACAUACUCCGGCGCAGCGGCCGGAUCUUACCUUCUUUUCCCCGAUCGAACCUGCUGGUGAUCCCAUGGACUCGGGCUGAUCAAGGGAGGCCCCUCGUGACCUUACCCGGCCUUGGUUAUAGUGGUUUCUCCGGUAGAUCGAUCUAGGGUUUUCGUUGGCGGCGACUAGACUGCUCGGUUCAUGGCGUCGGGAUCAAGCUCGCAGGGGCGGCAUGGCAAGGAGACGACGGAGGAGCUGCUAGCCAGGUUGAAUUUGCAGGAGGAGGAAGAUGAUGAUUUCGUGUGGGAGGAGGAGUUGCCGGAUCUGGGGGCGCCGGCGAAGUGGCUAGCCAUAGCCAGGGUACACACUACAAGGACUUUCAGUCCUAAUGCUCUUUAUGGGGACAUGCGUGCAGCCUGGAAUCCAGCGAAAACGGUGGUCUGGAGGAAGGUGAAGGACAACUUGUUCACAACACAGUUUGGUUGUCUAGGGGAUUGGAAUAAGGCCAUGCUAGAGGGGCCAUGGCUUUUCAGAGACCAAGCAGUGAUUUUGGUGGAGUAUGAUGGGUUCAAAAACCCUGAUAGCAUCAAGUUGGAUAAGUUGGCAGUUUGGGCGCAAAUCCAUCGUUUACCUGACAACUUUUUGAUCGAGCCUGCAGUCAGGGGGAUGGCAUCGCGAAUUGGCGAGGUGGAAGAAGUGCAGCUCAAGCUACCGGCAGGUUUCUUUGGUGAAUUUGUCCGGGUGAGGGUGAAAAUCGAUAUCAACGUAAAAAUUAAGAGGUUUGUCACUGGAAAGAAGGGGGAUGAACGAGUUAGAUAUCAAGUAAAAUACGAGAAAUUACCUGUCUUUUGCUUUAACUGUGGUGAAUGCGGGCAUUGGCACGAGGAGUGUGGUGAUGGUGUUCAUGAUGAGACAAAGUUUGAGUGGGGUGACUUUGUUCUGGCUGACAAUAUUCGCUUCAGGCAACCUGGCAGAGGUGGUUUUGGUAACCAGAGGGGACGAGGCGGCCCAAGGAAUGCAGGAGGAAGAGGUAGGGGGCGAGAGCAGUAUAACCCCAAUCAAAGUUGGCGCUUCAAUGCAUAUCAGAAUGAACCUCGCAGGGAGGCGGGGAGGCAGGAUGAAGGAGAGGACAAUGCAAUGACCACAGAAGUAUCGGGGCCAAGCGAGCCCAAGGGUAUGAUCGAGGAACCGACUGCUGCAACACUGGGGGUAGUGGUGGCAAGUAACAAGAGGCAAUCUUCGGACAAGAACCAUCCAGAGACAGUUCAGUCGAGCGAUGAUGGAGAAGGGGACGUGGUCCCAGUGAGCUCUACAGCUCUUGUAAUCUCUGGAAAGCCGGACGGGGUUCCACCGAUGCCGCCUGUAUAUGUGUCUCCAAGGAAAGAGGUGAAGCGACGGAAGAAAGAUGUUGGCAAUAAAGGAGCCCUGUUUAAGGAGUUGUCUGAUGCAGGGACACCGAGUAUGGUGACAGAUGGAGUGGAACGUGGCAAGGACCAAUAUGAUGGAUCGGCGGGCUCCUCCGAGGAGUGCCGCCUGACGCAAUGAGUUCAUUUUGUUGGAACUGUCGCGGCGCGGGUAAAGCCGCGACAGUUCGUGAGCUUCGCGACUUUGCGAAGAAAUUUACCCCUACCGUGUUGUGUAUUGUUGAAACUCAAGUAAAGGGUGCACGUGUAGAAGCUUUAGCUAACACUUUGGGCUAUGAUAAUGCCUAUGCGAUAGAUAGUCAAGGAAGAAGUGGAGGAAUAGGGAUUUUUUGGAAUAAUACAAUAAAUGUUGAGAUCUUGGGUGAUUCUGUUUAUCAUAUUGAUGCAAAGGUGGUAGAGGAAGGGAAAGACCCAUGGAGGUUGACAUGCGUGUAUGGCGAGGCCCAGACACAACUGAGACACCAAACAUGGGAUCUCCUAAAGGGGUUGGCGUCUUUUAGCAACCUCCCUUGGCUGUGUUUGGGCGAUUUUAACGAAGUUUUACGUCCGGAUGAACAUGAGGGAGCUGCUAAUCGGAGUAAUGCACAAAUACAAGGUUUUCGGGAUGCGGUUGACGUUUGCAUGUUGAUGGACUUGGGCUAUCAUGGCAGAUUUUGGACCUUUGAGAAAAAAGUGAUCGGGGGAUCCUACACCCGCGUGAGGCUUGACAGAGCGAUGGCCACAGCUGAUUGGGUGGCGCUUUUCCCUAUGGCCAAGGUUACAAACUUAACUUCGGCGUCCUCGGAUCAUGGACCAAUACUCGUACAGUUUGAAGAGGUUUUACCACACCCUAAACCGAGCUUCCGGUACGAAGUGAUGUGGGAGUCACAUGAAUCAUGGCGUGACACUAUCAGCUCAGGAUGGAGCGAACUGCAAGCGGAUCAAGGAGUUGAGGGGAUUCGCAGAAAAUUGGAGCUUCUGUCAAAGAACCUCUCGGCAUGGGAGGAUGCAACUUUUGGAAGUGUUAGGAAGGAGAUCAAGAAGGCAAAAGCGGAGCUAGAGAGGCUUCGGAGUGUUCCGUCUAGGACUGCUCCAAAUCACCUUGAGCAAAAGUUGAAUGAACGGCUGGUUGAGCUCUAUCAUAGGGAGGAGUUAAUGUGGAGACAAAGAUCGCGCAUACAGUGGCUGACUGCGGGUGAUCGCAACACAAAUUUUUUUCACAUGAGAGCAAAUAUGUGGCGUAGGGAGAAUAUGAUUCGAGCUCUACACAAUGCGCUGGGUAUAAGAGUAGAGGACAAGGCUGAGAUGAAACAACUUGUGACAGAUUUCUAUAAAACCUUGUACACGACGGAAGGUGUACAGGGGGUAGAUGAUGUAUUACAACAUGUGCCUCGGAAAGUGACACUAGAGAUGAAUGCUUCGCUUUGCGCUCCUUACACAAAUGAGGAAGUAAAGCAGGCCCUGUUUCAGAUGUUUCCUACGAAGGCACCGGGGCCAGAUGGUUUUCCUGCACACUUCUAUCAGCGCCACUGGGACAUUUGUGGGGAUGAAGUAACUAAAGUGGUGCUUCGGAUCGUCCGUGGAGAGGAGACUGCUGCAAGCAUUAAUGAUACGGUACUUGUGUUGAUACCCAAGGUACAAAAUCCCACUCUACUUACCCAGUUUAGGCCUAUCAGCCUUUGCAAUGUGAUUUAUAAAAUAGCUUCUAAAGUGGUGUCGAAUAGAUUGAAGUUGAUAUUGCCAGAUAUUAUCUCAAAGGAGCAAUCAGCCUUUGUUCCCGGGAGGUUGAUCACGGAUAAUAUUAUUUGUGCGUAUGAAUGUUUGCACUUCAUGAAGAGAAACAGAUCCAAGACAAACAACUUUUGUGCACUUAAGCUUGAUAUGAUGAAGGCAUAUGACAGACUAGAGUGGCCUUAUCUAAAGGCAAUUAUGGUUAAGCUUGGCUUUGCAUCAGAUUGGAUCCAUACAGUUAUGAGCAUGAUCACUUCUGUUUCAUUCUCGGUCUUGUUUAAUGGAGAAAGAUUAGAGAGCUUCUCACCUUCCAGGGGUAUCAGGCAGGGAGAUCCUAUUUCCCCUUACUUAUUCUUGAUUGCAGCGGAGGGCCUUUCGUGCCUUUUAAAACACAGUUCUCAGUCAUUAGUGCUCGGUGGCAUAAAGGUGGCGCCCACGGCUCCGGUAGUGAACCACCUUUUGUUUGCAGAUGACAGCCUGCUGCUUUUCAAGUCUAGUGUCCAGGGGGCAAAUGAGGUUUCAAACCUACUUGAUGCAUAUUGCUUGGCUUCGGGCCAAAGGGUAAACUAUGAUAAAUCGUCCAUAUUUUUCAGUAAGGGAUGCCCGGAGACCCUUAGGGUGGAGAUAAAGAAUAUACUUAAUGUGCAGAAUGAGUCUUUGAGUGAAAAGUAUUUGGGUCUGCCGACCUAUGUUGGACAGUCCAAAAAUGGCACCUUCAAAUAUUUACGAGACAGAGUUUGGGAAAGGAUAAAGGGAUGGAUGGAGAAACUUUUAUCAGUGGCAGGAAAGGAGGUUCUCAUAAAAUCUGUGGCUCAAGCUUUACCAGUUUUUUCGAUGUCUUGCUUCAGAUUACCUCGAGGCCUUUGUGGAAGCAUUAUGUCACUCAUUCGUCAAUUUUGGUGGGGGAGCAAGAGAGGCAAGAGGAAACCAUGUUGGGUAGCUUGGGAUUUGAUGACCCGACCGAAAAGUUUGGGAGGACUUGGCUUUCGGGAUAUAGAAAUCUUCAACUUGGCACUUUUGUCUCGGCAAAUUUGGAGAUUAUUGAAUGAUCCCUCCUCUCUUAGUGCACAAAUCCUUAAAGCAUCAUAUUUUCCACAAUGUACAGUCCUUGAAGCUCAACUAGGUCCACAUCCUUCUCAGGUGUGGCGAUCUAUACUUGAUGGGAGAGAUAUUAUCACCCAAGGAGCUAUCCGGCGUAUUGGUGAUGGAACUACCACGAACAUAUGGCAACAUAGUUGGGUUCCAAGGGACGGAAUGAUGAAGCCGGUGGCCUCCUUAGUUGCUGACCCACCGCAACUGGUUUCUGAUCUGAUUGACCACACUAGAGCUGCGUGGCGAGAGGACUUGCUUAGACAGGUGUUCAUACCCAUUGAUGUGGAGGCGAUCUUGCAAAUACCGCUCUGUACACGGCGUGUGGACGAUUUCUGGGCAUGGAAUGAUGAUCCAAGGGGGCGUUUUUCUGUACGGUCAGCUUAUAAGAUGAUUGUCAAGAUCAAGAUUGGGCGCGAGGCAUGGCUGGAGGAAAAGGAGGAUCCUUCCAACUCUGAACAUGAGAUGAGGGGGUGGAACUCGCUAUGGAACAUGUCAGUGCCACCGAAACUGCGCUUUUUCACUUGGCGAUUGGCGCAACACUCACUCCCUACGGGAGAUGUCCUAAACCAUCGUCAUAUGGCCACUACGAGUGCUUGCUCCCUAUGCGGAGGGCAGGAUAGCUGGCGGCAUUCUUUGCUGGAGUGUAAUGUGUCUAGGUGUGUGUGGGCACUUUCAGAAGCCGAGAUGGUCGAGCACAUGUGGGCAACCUCAGAACCUGACGCACGGCUGUGGCUCUUUGCCAUGAAUGACUCUCUUCCACCGGAGCAAUUUCAGUUGAUGAUUGUUACUUUAUGGGCGAUUUGGAGUGCAAGACGGAAAGCUAUACAUGAGGAUAUAUACCAGACUCCGUUUGCCACUGACAAUUUCAUCAAAGCUUACUUAUCAGACAUAGAGUUUUUGAACAAGAAGAAGGAGGAAGCACAUGGGAUAGCAGUACCACGACCCCGUACGUGGAUUCCACCAUCAACAGAUUACUACAAACUCAAUGUGGACGCGGCCGUGUCACGCCCAGGUACGUUUGGCGCAGUUGGUGUGGUUUGCAGGGAUGAGAGAGGUUUGUUCAUGGGAGCGUCAGCUCUCGUUUUCAGAGGACUGCACAACCCCCAAGUGCUAGAAGCACUAGCUGUUCGGGAGGCAUUAGCACUUUCAGAAGAUCUCUAUAUCAACCAUUUACUUGUUGCCUCCGAUUGCAAGGUGGUGGUAGAUGCAAUCAGACAGGAAAACUCAGCAGAAUUUGGAGCCAUUGUCGAGGAAAUCAAGACUAGAGCAACUACCUUUAUUUCAUGUUCGUUUACUCAUAAGUAUAGGACCUCCAAUACGGAGGCCCAUAAUCUCGCACAGCAUGCGUUAUCUUUAGGGUUUGGCCGACACAUUUGGCUAGGACAACCCGGCGAUCUUCUUUUUGUACCUAUGAACAUUAUGAUUCAGUAAUAAAGCUUUGUGAGAUUCUUAAAAAAAAAAUCCAUUAGUCCGUAGAAGAUUACUCGCCGCCGUUAUGCCCGCUCGCCUCUGCUCUCGAUCUGAAUUUUUCCGGUCAGAUACAGAUCAGAGACUCCGCUAGACUGCUAGUACUUGUUUCAAGUUGAGCAUUCAGCGAUGCUCGGACGACAGCUGUCGAUUGCCAUUCUGGAUUACUUAUGACGCCAGGAUCACGAUCUCGAAUGGCCGCUGCCGAUUCCCAUUCCUGAAUGGCUGUAUCACGAUCUAGUGAUCUUGCGACAGGUCAAUUUCUGCAGGUAUAUAUGUUAAUCUAUUUUGUUUGGUACGUUCAUGCUUUAGUAAUUGUGAUCAGAAGAGAAAUCCACAUAUAAUAUAUCUUUUUCGCGUGAGCUAUGCUUUUCUAUUGAAAAUUUUGAAGAGAAGGAAUAUAACUUUUUUUCUACACCUCUUCCUUUGCCUUAACCCAUUCAUGGAAAUUUUGGGUUUAUCUCUAAUGAGAUUAUUGACUUUUACACUUCUUGUAUGUACCUAAAUUUAAAUCAAUACUUGUCAAACAUUUAUCUAUUACUAUGUGUUUAUGUGUUAGAAAAAAAUGUAGCAUUAUGUACCCCCCCCUCCCCCCCACCAUGCUCAAAUCCUGGCUCCGCCCCUGCGUGCAUGCCCCUCCGGCCAGCAGUGGCACGCGCGUACUCCAUCAAAGCUAUGCGAUUUGGCCACUGUCAUCUUGCCAAAACCAGCCGGUACGGUGGCGACAAUGAGACGCGCGCCGGUUUGGCCACCCGAACCAAACGAACGAGUGAACAACAGAGCUUCGGAUAUUGGAGCUCAUAAAACCCUUCCCAACUGCACGCAGCGAAUCACAGGCCGCAAGAACUAACCGCUGCCAGCCACACACUGACCUCGCCUACAUACAAAUCACAGGUUAAAAAAUGUGUAUACGAUGUACAAAAAGGCUUGUGUAAUGUAAAAAAAUUGUAACAUUGAAAAAAUGUGCGUGACAUUUUGUGAAAAUAUUCCCGCCUUAAAAAGAAAUUGUGACCUUAAAAAAAGUGUAUACAAAAUGUAAAAAAAAUGUUGUUAUAGGUUCAGAAGAUGUUUAUUGCCAUUCUAAAAUUAUACCUGAAAUUUUAAAGAAAUACUCACAUGUUUACAAAUAAUGCUGUGAAAUUUUCAAAAAUGUUUAUACCGUGUGGUUUAAUAAAAUGUUUAUUGAAAUUGUACAACGUGUAUUUAGAAAAUUUUACAGUGUAUGACAAAAAAUGUUCAAAAAAUGUAUUUAAAAAAAUCACUUACUUGAAAAAGGUUCAUGUACUUGGAAAAAUGUUUAACUUUGCUCUAAAAAUAUAUAUUACGUAACGAGAAAAGGUAGGCAUCUGUUAAAAAAUAAAACCAUUAAGAAAAUGACAAAGAAACAAAAAGAAAACAGAAGAAAACCGACAAAGGAACAGACAAUACCCAAGUAUAUAGCAAAGAAAGAAAGGAAACCUAAAAAACACGAGAAAAGAAAGAAAACAAAGUAAAAUGAUGAAAAAAGAAAAAUUAAAGAAAACCGGUGAAAAAGCAAAAAAAGAGAAAACAAAAAAAAGAAAACCGGAGCGAGCGAACCUACAUCGAUUGCCACGAGUGGCAGCGAGCAACCACGCUAAAUGGGUCAGCUGGGCCAGCCUGCUAGUCAUUGUUCGUUAGUGAUUCCUAUAAGAAAUCGGGCGGCAUAGGCGACACAUAGAUAUCGUGCCUAUCUACAACGAGAGCUCCUGUUUGACGCUCGUUAGCGUCUAACAGGAGAGCUUCCGCGCAGGGCUCGCGCGAAUGGGCCGGCCCAUUACCAGGCUACGAGUGAACAUAAGAAGAAACGCUACAAACGAAAAAAUUAUAGUCUGGUUCGAUUCGAACCGGCGACCUUACGCUAUACGGCUGCGUCAACAGCCACUGCACCUAGCGACUCGGAUUGGAUGUAAGUACAACGUAAACUUGAAGUACUAUGUACGGAGGCAGAUCCGGUUUUUAAUCUUCAUUCAAAAGAAUGUAUAAUGUUUUCCUGAACAAAUUUUGAAACUCGAACAACUGUUAAAAAGUGUUUUCUUUCUGAAAAACGUGAGCAGUUAUUCAAAACAUGAACAAAAGUUUAUUGAUUUUGUUAUGUAACGAUGAACUAUUUUCAAAUAUACAUUGAACAUUUUUUAGAUAUACGAUGAACAAUUUUUAACUACACAGUAAACAUUUUUGUGAUAUACACUUAACAAAAUUUGAAAACAUAACAUUUUUGUGAUAUACGAUGAACAAAUUAUAUACAUUGAAUUUUUUUAAAAAAUAAUCUGAACAAUUUUUAACUACAAAUUGCACAAUUUUGUGUAUAUACGCUGAAUAAUUUUGUGUUCACAGUUUUAAAAAUAAUAUACCCAUUGAACUUUUUUGUGAUAUACGCUGAACAAUUUUAAAUAGCAAACCAACUUGAAAUAAUGAAUAAAGUUUUAAAACUGUGAACACUUCUUGAAACGAUGAACAAAAUUUGGGAUGUCAAAGCAUUUUCUUGAACAAAGUAUACAAAUAGAAACAAAAAAUCAUAAAAUGAAAGAAAAGGAAAAAGAAGAGAAAUAAACAGAAACGGAAGAAAGAAAGAAAAAGGAAAAAACGAAAAAAGAAAACAGGAAAAAACUGGCAAAAAAAAAAACGGGUCAGGGAACCUCCUAGAAGGUUCCCAAAACCGGGUGCUGGCUCGAAGUGGGCCGGCCCGUGUUGCCUCCGUCGCUCGCUUAGCUUCAGCGAAACAGCGACGAUUGGACGCACACGAGCGUCAUACAGGAUCUGCCAUCUACAACCAUAGGUGCAUAGCUGAUCUCUCUUUUGCAAGAGGCUGGCUAGGGGAAAGUCGAUUGGAAAAAUAAUUUGGGCCAGUCGAUUGGUCUUGAGCUGUCCGAUGAAAAAUAAAUGGCACGAUUACCCUCUUCAACCUUCUACCUUCUCGUUCAUCUUCUUUCCCAACCUCCCCACAGACCAUCCGCCGAACUGGUAGCCACAUGCCCACAUCUGCUCACGGCUGGUGACGCUCCCGUGCCAACCCCGCCGCCCCGCUCUUCCCUCACCGUCGCGCACUCUGUGUUGCUGGCGCUCCUAACAUCCCUCUAGAAGUAUGAAUGACUAGAUUUUUCUGGUGAGCCCCUCCCCCCACGCACCCAGCCACACACACGAACCGUCAAGUUUCUUACUCGCCUGCCCAAGGUCUUGCUGGCACGCGGCUUCGGUGUUGCACAUUGUCACUUGCUUCCUUUUUAAUAAAUCAACCGACCCAAAUUUGAAAAUUACCACGCACCUCCUCUUUCCUCCCGCGGCUCGCUCGCGACUCCCGCUAGGGUUCCCACCCGCCGCCGCCGCCGUCGGGCGCCCCUCCCUGCCUUGCUCCCCCCUUCCCCCUCCUCCCCUUUCCUCCCGCGGCGCGCCCGCGCGCGCCAGGGAGGAUCCCCUCCUGUCGCGGCCCUCGGCUCACCUCCCUCCCCUCUCCCCCCGCCGCCGCCGGCGAGCUCCGUCGGGCAAAGCCCGGUGGGCAUGGCGGCGGCGGGGCCUCUCAUCCCCAUCCGCUUGUAGGUGCCGACGCGGGGCGGCCCCUUCGAGCGGUGGCGCUAGUUGUUGCGGGAUCCAGCGGCACAUCGGCGGUCUCGCUGGGCGGCGGGGUGGCCUGCUGGUGGUGGCGCUCCGGCUCCCUUUGUUCCGCUUGCGGUGGGGCGGCUGCGUUGCUCUCGUCUCGGGAGGUGGCGCGCGGCCGGUCUCUUGUCGGAUCCGGCCAGAUCUGGAGUUGGGGGCCGACCGGCGGCGCGUGGCUCCGGUGGUGCGUGCCAGGCAGCUCCGGUGCUUGGAGGUCGUCGGGCGGCGCGGGUAGGGCAGCGGUCGGGCAUGGCCGUUGCUCCGGUCAUGGGCGGCGGCGUGGGGAGGUCUCGGUGUCGUGGCGGCUUCACGGUGGCUCGUCGGAUCUGUCCGCGACAGUGGCCGGCUUCUCCGGCGUCGGCUCGCCUGUGGUCGGGCCGUCUCGACCUUCACCCCAUCUCCUCGUCGCCCGGUCGCUUCUCCCAUCAAUGGGUUGGUCCUCUCCCGGUUGCGGUCCAACGCUCGUCUCGUGCCCGGUGCCGUAGGACCGAGCUCGUCUCACGCACGAUGCAGCAGGACCGAGCUCGUCUCGCGCACGGUGCAGCAGGACCGAGCUCGUCCCCCUCUCGAUGCUGCAGGACCGAGCUCGUCUCGCGCUAGGGGCAGCAGGACGGGUCGGUGGAUGCCAGUUCUGGCCGACCUAUUGGGUCUCGACGCUGGGGGUGGCCCAGGGGCACGAAAGGUGAGACCUUUCCGCUCGUCUCUCUCAUUGGGGUGCGGCGGAUCUCGGGUGAGGUGGUGUCAUGGUCUUGGAUGCUGGGGCGGCGGCCCUGGUGGUGGUUGCGCGGUGCUCUUGGGCAGAGCCCGUGCCUUGGUGCUGCCCGGUCACCAUGGUUGUGUGGGCGGCGUGGUUGCCGGGGUGUGGCGUUCGGUGGCGGUGAUGGUUGGUCGAGGUGAAAACCUGCUCUAUCUUCGGACAAACCGGCGGCGGUGAAGAUCGUUCCCUUCUUGAAGGCAUCGUCGCGGCUCUCAUUGCCCGUCAUGCGGCUCCGGGGGAAACCCUGAUCUUUGGAUCGGGCGGUGGUGGCGCUUCGGUGUCAUAUCCUUCCUGAAGGCGCCGUCUUGGAGUGCAUGGUUCGUCAUAUGUAGUCUCACCUCUUCGGGGCCGUAGUGCUAGUGGUGGUGUUGCUGCACUCAGCGCCUUUGUAUCCUAUCCUGGGUGUGUGCGUGUGUUUGCGGUGGCGUGGCGUGUGUUUGUACUGAAUGCUUGUGUUUGUUGCUUUAUAUAUAAAGCGGGGCGAAAGCCUUUCUCGGUAAUUUGAAAUUCAAUGGACUGACCUCAAGCUAAACAGGUUUUGUAAACCGAUGAAGAUUAGAGCAACUCCAACGGGGCGACACAAACGGACGCGCGCUUUGUCCGCUUUUCGUCCGUUUGGGUCGGCUAGGCGGACGUGCGUGUCUGCAUUUUAAAAUGGAUCGGCUUGACUGCCCAAACGGGGAGGCCGACCCAAAUGUGCCGGCGUGAAGAAAAAACAAGUUUGCACGAAAUAAACAUACAUAAACAUAAUUAAACAUAAAGUGGCCGGUCAAACGCCGGGCAAAGUCCACCUAAAUCUAAUAAAACAUUAAAAAAAGUAUGUGCCCGCCUGCUGCCGCCCCGCACGCUGCCCUAGAUGUCGUCGGCCUUGCCCUUGCCCUUGCCCUCGACGCCGCCGUCGUUGGUGAGGUCGAUGAAGACCGGAGCAGGGCCAGCCCACCCGAACGCUGCCUGGUACGCUGCUAGGGCAGCCUCCUCCGGCGUCAGCUGGGGCGGCGGUAUUGCGGCAAGCCGCGCGCGCUCCUCCUCCUCCUCCUCUAGCCGGAGCGCCUCCGCGUCGCGUUCGAGCAUGGCAUUGUAGCGCAUCUGCUCCUCGCCGUCGGCCUGCUCCUGGCGGAGCCAGUGCUCCUGAAGGAAAUAUGCCCUAGAGGCAAUAAUAAAGUUAUUAUUUAUUUCCUCAUAUCAUGAUAAAUGUUUAUUAUUCAUGAUAGAAUUGUAUUAACCGGAAACAUAAUACAUGUGUGAAUACAUAGACAAACAUAUAGUCACUAGUAUGCCUCUACUUGACUAGCUCAUUAAUCAAAGAUGAUUAUGUUUCCUAACCAUAGACAUGUGUUGUCAUUUGAUUAAUGGGAUCACAUCAUUAUGAGAAUGAUGUGAUUGACAUGACCCAUUCCGUUAGCCUAGCACUUGAUCGUUUAAUAUAUUGCUAUUGCUUUCUUCAUGACUUAUACAUGUUCCUAUAACUAUGAGAUUAUGCAACUCCCGUUUACCGGAGGAACACUUUGGGUGCUACCAAACGUCACAACGUAACUGGGUGAUUAUAAAGGAGUACUACAGGUGUCUCCGAAGGUACAUGUUGGGUUGGCGUAUUUCGAGAUUAGGAUUUGUCACUCCGAUUGUCGGAGAGGUAUCUCUGGGCCCUCUCGGUAAUACACAUCACUAUAAGCCUUGCAAGCAUUGCAACUAAUGAGUUAGUUGUGAGAUGAUGUAUUACGUAACGAGUAAAGAGACUUGCCGGUAACGAGAUUGAACUAGGUAUUGGAUACCGACGAUCAAAUCUCGGGCAAGUAACAUACCGAUGACAAAGGGAACAACGUAUGUUGUUAUGCGGUUUGACCGAUAAAGAUCUUCGUAGAAUAUGUGGGAGCCAAUAUGAGCAUCCAGGUUCCGCUAUUGGUUAUUGACCGAGAAUAGUUCUAGGUCAUGUCUACAUUGUUCUCGAACCCGUAGGGUCCGCACGCUUAAGGUUUCGAUAACAGUUAUAUUAUGAGUUUAUGAGUUUUGAUGUACCGAAGGAGUUCGGAGUCCCGGAUGAGAUCGGGGACAUGACGAGGAGUCUCGAAAUGGUCGAGAUGUAAAGAUCGAUAUAUUGGACGACUAUAUUCGGAGUUUGGAAAGGUUCCGAGUGAUUCGGGUAUUUUUCGGAGUACCGGAGAGUUACGGGAAUUCGCCGGGGAGUAUAUGGUCCUUAUUGGGCCAUACGGGAAUAGAGGAGAGAGGCCGAAAGGAAGGAGGCACGCAGCCCCCCUCUGGUCCGAAUUGGACAAGGGGUGCGGCCCCCUUUUCCUUCCUCCUCUCCCCCUCUUUCCCCCUUCUCCUACUCCAACAAGGAAGGAGGGAGUCCUACUCCCGGUGGGAGUAGGACUCCCCUUGGCGCGCCCCUACUAGGCCGGCCGCCCCUGCCCCCUUGCUCCUUUAUAUACGGGGGCAGGGGGGCACCUCUAGGCACAACAACAAUUGAUCCCUUGGAUCUCUUAGCCGUGUGCGGUGCCUCCCUCCACCAUAAUCCACCUCGAUAAUAUCGUAGCAGUGCUUAGGCGAAGCCCUGCGUCGGUAGUACAUCAAGAUCGUCACCACACCGUCGUGUUGACGGAACUCUACCUCGACACUCGGCUGGAUCGGAGUUCGAGGGACGUCAUCGAGCUGAACGUGUGCUAGAACUCGGAGGUGUCGUAGUUUUGGUGCUUGAUCGGUCGGGCCGUGAAGACGUACGACUACAUCAACCGCGUUGUUCUAACGCUUCCACUUUCGGUCUACGAAGGUACGUGGACACACUCUUCCCUCUCGUUGCUAUGCCAUCACCAUGAUCUUGCGUGUACGUAGGAAUUUUUUUGAAAUUACUACGUUCCCCAACAGUGGCAUCCGAGCCUAGGUUUUAUGCGUUGAUGUUAUAUGCACGAGUAGAACACAAGUGAGUUGUGGGCGAUACAAGUCAUACUGCUUACCAGCAUGUCAUACUUUGGUUCGGCGGUAUUGUGAGAUGAAGCGGCCCGGACCGACAUUACGUGUACGCUUACGCGAGACUGGUUUCACCGUUGCGAGCACUCGUGCUUAAAGGUGGCUGGCGGGUGUCUGUCUCUCUCACUUUAGCUGAAUCGAGUGUGGCUACGCCCGGUCCUUGCGAAGGUUAAAACAGCAUCAACUUGACGAACUAUCGUUGUGGUUUUUAUGCGUAGGUAAGAACGGUUCUUGCUAAAGCCCGUAGCAGCCACGUAAAAUUUGCAACAACAAAGUAGAGGACGUCUAACUUGUUUUUGCAGGGCAUGUUGUGAUGUGAUAUGGUCAAGACGUGAUGCUAUAUUUUAUUGUAUGAGAUGAUCAUGUUUUGUAACCGAAGUUAUCGGCAACUGGCAGGAGCCAUAUGGUUGUCGCUUUAUUAUAUGAAAUGCAAACGCCCUGUAAUUGCUUUACUUUAUCUCUAAGCGGUAGCGAUAGUCGUAGAAGCAAUAGAUGGUGUAACGACAACGAUGCUACGAUGGAGAUCAAGGUGUCGCGCCGGUGAUGAUGGUGAUCACGACGGUGCUUCGAAGAUGGAGAUCACAAGCACGAGAUGAUGAUGGCCAUAUCAUAUCACUUAUAUUGAUUGCAUGUGAUGUUUAUCCUUUAUGCAUCUUAUCUUGCUUUGAUUGACGGUAGCAUUAUACGAUGAUCUCUCACUAAUUAUCAAGAAGUGUUCUCCCUGAGUAUGCACCGUUGCGAAAGUUCUUCGUGCUGAGACACCACGUGAUGAUCGGGUGUGAUAGGCUCUACGUUCAAAUACAACGGGUGCAAAACAGUUGCGCACGCGGAAUACUCAGGUUAAACUUGAUGAGCCUAGCAUAUACAGAUAUGGCCUCGGAACACGGAGACCGAAAGGUCGAGCGUGAAUCAUAUAGUAGAUAUGAUCAACAUAGUGAUGUUCACCGUUGAAACUACUCCAUCUCACGUGAUGAUCGGACAUGGUGUAGUUGAUAUGGAUCACGUAAUCACUUAGAGGAUUAGAGGGAUGUCUAUCUAAGUGGGAGUUCUUUAGUAAUAUGAUUAACUGAACUUAAAUUUAUCAUGAACUUAGUCCUGGUAGUAUUUUGCAAAUUAUGUUGUAGAUCAAUAGCUUGAGUUGUUGAUUUCAUAUGUUUAUUUUGAUAUGUUCCUAGAGAAAAUUGUGUUGAAAGAUGUUAGUGGCAAUGAUGCAGAUUGGAUCCGUGAUCUGAGGUUUAUCCUCAUUGUUGCACAGAAGAAUUAUGUCCUUAAUGUACCGCUAGGUGACAGACCUAUUGCAGGAGCAGACGCAGACGUUAUGAACGUUUGGCUAGCUCAAUAUGAUGACUACUUGAUAGUUUAGUGCACCAUGCUUAACGGCUUAGAAUCGGGACUUCAAAGACGUUUUGAACGUCAUGGACCAUAUGAGAUGUUCCAGGAAUUGAAGUUAAUAUUUCAAGCAAAUACCCAAGUUGAGAGAUAUGAAGUCUCCAACAAGUUCUAUUGCUAAAAGAUGGAGGAGAAUCGCUCAACUAGUGAGCAUGUGCUCAGAUUGUCUGGGUACUUCAAUUGCUUGAAUCAAGUGGGAGUUAAUCUUCCAGAUAAGAUAGUGAUUGACAUAAUUCUCUAGUCACCAUCACUAAGUUACUAGAACUUCGUGAUGAACUAUAGUAUGCAAGGGAUGACGAAAACGAUUCCCGAGCUCUUUGUGAUGUUGAAAUCGACGAAGGUAGAAAUCAAGAAAGAGCAUCAAGUGUUGAUGGUUGACAAGAUCACUAGUUUCAAGAAAAGGGCAAAGGGAAAGAAAGGGAACUUCAAGCAGAAUGGCAAGCAAGUUGUCACUCCCACGAAGAAGCCCAAAGCUGAACCAAAGCCUGAAACUGAGUGCUUACACUUCAAAGGAAAUGGUCACUGGAAGCGCAAAUGUCUUGAAUAUUUGGUGGAUAAGAAGGAUGGCAAAGUGAACAAGGGUAUAUUUGAUAUACAGGUUAUUGAUGUGUGCCUUACUAGUGUUUAUAGUUGCCCCUGAGUAUUUGAUACUUGUUCGGUUACUAAGAUUAGUAACUCGAAACAGGAGUUACAGAAUAAACAGAGACUAGUUGAAGGAGAAGUGACGAUGAGUGUUGGAAGUAGUUCCAAGAUUGAUGUGAUCAUCAUCGCACACUCCCUAUACUUUCGGGAUUAGUGUUAAACCUAAAUAAAUGUUAUUUGGCAUUUGCAUUGAGCAUGAACAUGAUUUGAUCGUGUUUAUUGCGAUACGGUUAUUCAUUUAAAGUUAGAGAAUAAUUGUUAUUCUGUUUACAUGAAUAAGACCUUCGAUGGUUAUACACCCAAUGAAAAUAGUUUGUUGGAUCUCGAUCAUAGUGGUACACAUAUUCAUAAUAUUGAUGCCAAAAGAUGCAAAGUUAAUAAUGAUAGUGCAACUUAUUUGUGGCACUGCCGUUUGGGUCAUAUCGGUGUAAAGCGCAUGAAGAAACUCCAUAAAGAUGGAUUUUCGGAAUCACUUGGUUAUGAAUCAUUUGAUACUUGCGAACCGUGCCUUUUAGGCAAGAUGACUAAAACUCCGUUCUCCGGAACAAUGGAACAAGCUUAUUGGAAAUAAUACAUACCGAUGUAUGCGAUCCAAUGAGUGUUGAUGCUGGUGGCAAGUAUCGUUAUUUUCUGACCUUCACAAGAUGAUUUGAGCAGAUAUGGGUAUAUCUACUUGAUGAAACAUAAGUCUGAAAUAGUUGAAAGGUUCAAAGAAUUUCAGAGUGAAGUGGAAAAAUCAUCGUAACAAGAAAAUAAAGUUUCUGCGAUCUGAUCGCGGAGACGAAUAUUUGAGUUACGAGUUUGGUCUUUAAUUAAAACAAUGUGAAAUAGUUUCACAACUCAUGCCACCUAGAACACCACAACGUUAUGGUGUGUCCGAACGUCGUAACCGCACUUUACUAGAUAUGGUGCGAUCUAUGAUAUCUCUUAUCAGUUUACCACUAUCGUUUUGGGGUUAUGCAUUAGAGACAGCUGCAUUCACGUUUAAUAGGGCACCAUCUAAAUCCGUUGAGACGACACCAUAUGAACUAUGGUUUAGCAGUUAACCUAAGCUGUCGUUUCUUAAAGUUUGGAGUUGCGAUGCUUAUAUGAAAAAGGUUUUCAACUUGAUAAGCUCGAACUCAAAUCGGAGAAGUGCGUCUUCAUAGAAUACCCAAAGGAAACUGUUGGGUACACCUUCUAUCACAGAUCCGAAGGCAAAACAUUCGUUGCCAAGAAUGGAUCCUUUCUAGAGAAGAAGUUUCUCUCGAAAGAAGUGAGUGGGAGGAAAGUAGAACUUGAUGAGGUAACUGUACCUGCUCCCUUAUUGGAAAUUAGUUCAUCACAUAAAUCUGUUCCUGUGACUACUACACCAGUUAGUGAGGAAGUUAAUGAUGAUGAUCAUGAAACUUCAGAUCAAGUUGCUACCGACCCUCGUAGGUCUUCCAGAGUACGGUCCACACCAGAGUGGUACGGUAAUCCUAUUCUGGAAGUCAUGUUGCUAGACCAUGAUGAACCUACGAACUAUGAGGAAGCGAUGAUGAGCCCAGAUUCCACAAAAUGGCUUGAGGCCAUGAAAUCUGAGAUGGGAUCCAUGUAUAAGAACAAAGUGUGGACUUUGGUGGAGUUGCCCGAUGAUCGGCAAGCCAUAUUGUAUAAAUGGAUCUUCAAGAGGAAGAUAGAUGCUGAUAGUAGUGUUACUAUCUACAAAGCUCGACUUGUCGCAAAAAGGUUUUUCGACAAGUUCAAGGUGUUGAAUAUGAUGAGAUUUUCUCACUCGUAUUGAUGCUUAAAAGUCUGUCCGAAUCAUGUUAGCAAUUGCCACAUUUUACGAAAUUUGGCAAAUGGAUGUCAAAACUACAUUCCUUAAUGGAUUUAUUAAAGAAGAGUUGUAUAUGAUACAACCAGAAAGUUUUGUCAAUCCUAAAGGUGCUAACAAAGUGUGCAAGCUCCAUCAAUCCAUCAAUGGACUGGUGCAAGCAUCUCGGAGUUGGAAUAUACGCUUUGAUGAGUUGAUCAAAGCAUAUGGUUUUAUACAGAUUUUUUGAGAAGCCUGUAUUUACAAGAAAGUGAGUGGGAGCUCUGUAGCAUUUCUAAUAUUAUAUGUGGAUGACAUAUUGUUAAUUGGGAAUGAUAUGGAAAUUCUGGAUAGCAUGAAGGGAUACUUGAAUAAGAGUUUUUCAAAGCAAGACCUCGGUGAAGCUGCUUACACAUUGAGCAUCAAGAUCUAUAUAGAUAGAUCAAGACGCUUGAUAAGAUUUUUCAAUGAGUACAUACCUUGAUAAAUUUUUGAAAUAGUUCAAAAUGGAACAGUCAAAGAAGGAGUUCUUGCCUGUGUUGCAAGGUGUGAAGUUGAGUAAGACUCAAGACUCGACCAUGGCAGAAAAUAGAAAGAGAAUGAAAAGUCAUUCCAUGUGCCUCAGUCAUAGGUUCUAUAAAGUAUGCUAUGCUGUGAACCAGACCUAUUGUAUACCUUGCUCUGUGUUUGGCAAAGGAAUACAAUUUUGAUCUAAUAGUAGAUCACUGGACAGCGGUCAAGAAUAUCCUUAGUGAGGACUAAGGAAAUACUUCUCGAUUAUGGAGGUGAUAAAAGAGCCCGUCGUAAAGAGUUACAUCGGUGCAAGUUUUUACACCGAUCCAGAUGACUCUAAGUCUCAAUCUGGAUACAUAUUAAAAGUGGGAGCAAUUAGCUAGAGUAGCUCCAUGCUGAGCAUUGUAGACAUAGAAUACUUGCAAAAUACAUACGGCUCUGAAUCUGACAGACCCAUUGACUAAACUUCUCUCACGAGCAAAACAUGAUCAUACCUUAGUACUCUUUUGGUUGUCAAUCACAUAGCGAUGUGAACUAGAUUAUUGACUCUAGUAAACCCUUUGGAUGUUGAUCACAUGAUGAUGUGAACUAUGGGUAUUAAUCACAUGCAGAUGUGAAUAUUGGGGUUAAAUCACAUGGCGGUGUGAACUAGAUUAUUGACUCUAGUGCAAGUGGGAGACUCAAGGAAAUAUGCCCUAGAGGCAAUAAUAAAGUUAUUAUUUAUUUCCUCAUAUCAUGAUAAAUGUUUAUUAUUCAUGCUAGAAUUGUAUUAACCGGAAACAUAAUACAUGUGUGAAUACAUAGACAAACAUAUAGUCACUAGUAUGCAUCUACUUGACUAGCUCAUUAAUCAAAGAUGGUUAUGUUUCCUAACCAUAGACAUGUGUUGUCAUUUGAUUCAUGGGAUCACAUCAUUAGGAGAAUGAUGUGAUUGACAUGACCCAUUCCGUUAGCCUAGCACUUGAUCGUUUAGUAUAUUGCUAUUGCUUUCUUCAUGACUUAUACAUGUUCCUAUAACUAUGAGAUUAUGCAACUCCCGUUUACCGGAGGAACACUUUGGGUGCUACCAAACGUCACAACGUAACUGGGUGAUUAUAAAGGAGUACUACAGGUGUCUCCGAAGGUACAUGUUGGGUUGGCGUAUUUUGAGAUUAGGAUUUGUCACUCCGAUUGUCGGAGAGGUAUCUCUGGUCCCUCUCGGUAAUGCACAUCACUAUAAGCCUUGCAAGCAUUGCAACUAAUGAGUUAGUUGUGAGAUGAUGUAUUACGUAACGAGUAAAGAGACUUGCCGAUAACGAGAUUGAACUAGGUAUUGGAUACCGACGAUCGAAUCUCGGGCAAGUAACAUACCGAUGACAAAGGGAACAACGUAUGUUGUUAUGCGGUUUGACCGAUAAAGAUCUUCGUAGAAUAUGUGAGAGCCAAUAUGAGCAUCCAGGUUCCGCUAUUGGUUAUUGACCGAGAAUAUUUCUAGGUCAUGUCUACAUUGUUCUCGAACCCGUAGGGUCCGCACGCUUAAGGUUUCGAUGACAGUUAUAUUAUGAGUUUAUGAGUUUUGAUGUAUAGAAGGAGUUCGGAGUCCCGGAUGAGAUCGGGGACAUGACGAGGAGUCUCGAAAUGGUUGAGACGUAAAGAUCGAUAUAUUGGAUGACUAUAUUCGGAGUUCGUAAAGGUUCCGAAUGAUUCGGGUAUUUUUCGGAGUACCGGAGAGUUACGGGAAUUCGCCGGGGAGUAUAUGGGCCUUAUUGGGCCAUACGGGAAUAUAGGAGAGAGGCCGAAAGGAAGGAGGCGCGCAGCCCCCCUCUGGUCCGAAUUGGACAAGGGGUGCGGCCCCCUUUUCCUUCCUCCUCUCCCCCUCUUUCCCCCUUCUCCUACUCCAACAAGGAAGGAGGGAGUCCUACUCCCGGUGGGAGUAGGACUCCCCUUGGCGCGCCCCUACUAGGCCGGCCGCCCCCUCCCCCCUUGCUCCUUUAUAUACGGGGGCAGGGGGGCACCUCUAGGCACAACAACAAUUGAUCCCUUGGAUCUCUUAGCCGUGUGGGGUGCCCCCCUUCACCAUAAUCCACCUCGAUAAUAUCGUAGCGGUGCUUAGGCGAAGCCCUGCGUCGGUAGUACAUCAAGAUCGUCACCACGUCGUCGUGUUGAUGGAACUCUCCCUCGACACUCGGCUGGAUCGGAGUUCGAGGGGCGUCAUCGAGCUGAAUGUGUGCUAGAACUCGGAGGUGCCGUAGUUUCGGUGCUUGAUCGGUCGGGCCGUGAAGACGUACGACUACAUCAACCGCGUUGUUUUAACGCUUCCGCUUUCGGUCUACGAGGGUACGUGGACACACUCUCCCCUCUCGUUGCUAUGCCAUCACCAUGAUCUUGCGUGUACGUAGGAAUUUUUUUGAAAUUACUACGUUCCCCAACAGCUCCUUCCAUCGCUCGAGAUGGGCCGCCUCCUCCUCCGGCGUGGCGGCGAAGUGGACGGGAGGCGUGCUGAUCCACUCGCGGUACUGGCCCGUCCACGAGUAGGCCUCCUCCGGCCAAGUGGGUGGAGGCGGGGAGCGCUUACGCUCCGGCUCCAGCUUCGGCUUGGGCUGGACGGGCGGCAACGGUGGAGGCGGCGGCACGAAGAGCGGGGAGUGGACGGAGUCCCCCGCGGCGUACUCUGGCAGCCGACGCUGCUCCGACGUGAGCAGCGCGCGGCGCCGGCGCACCUCGUCGUCGUGCGCCCGCUGGGUCCGCGGGACCGCCGGACCGGGAUCCGGUUUGGAUCCAAAUGCCAAUGGUGCGGUAGCGUCACGUCGGGUAGGGGAGGGGCUACCUGUACUCCCAGUGCCACCGCGCUUGGUGCACCGGGAUGUGCAGGCGCCGGCGUUCAGGGCGGAAACGCGCCGGCAAUGGAGGGGGAGGGGAAGCUCGGGAUGACGAGGCGCCGGGAGUGCCCUUGCCCUUGCCCUUGCUGCUGCCGAAGAGGCCCAUGGCCGCGCUAGGGUUUGUGGUCGCCGACGAGGAAGCAAAGGGAGAGGUGGCGGGCCAGAUGUGGAGGGGAGAAAUGGAUGAGGCCAACCCCACCGCACGCGUGGUUAAAAAAGGACGCGCGCACUGGCUGACGCGUGGGCCCGCUGUCGGUGGUCGUCAUAAAUAAGACGACCGGUGGUGGUUGGGUGACCGCCAGGUGGGGACGCGGAGGACGGCGAUGAGACGCGCAGCGCGUCCGCGCCGACGCAUUCCAGGCGCAAAUUUGGGCCGCAAAUGUGUCGGCGCGGACACGACGCGGACGUGAAAUAGGUUUGGGUUGACGCGUUGGACCGCUACUUUUGUUCGCGCCGACCCAAACGGACGCGGGCGGACGAAAUGGGUCGCCUCAUUGGAGUUGCUCUUAGCAUCCGAAGAAAGCAAUUCACUAUUAUAAUUAAGGUAUGUUUCAAAAAGAAAUUAAGGUAGCUGCAACACACACAAAAAAAUCAGAGCCGCUCCAGUACUGUUGUCACGAUCGAGGCAAAUGAAAUGGCGCUACUGUACUCAUCAUGUGCUAUAUAUUUCCCCUCCCCGAAUAAUCAACACGUUCUUUCUCCACCAUUGCUCAUGCGUGCGUGCGUGCAUGCCCCUCCCUCAGCAGUGAUACGCGCGUGCUCCAUCAAAGGCCACUGCCAGCUUGCCAAAACCAGCCGGUACGGUGGCGACAGUGAGGCGCACGCCGGCUGUGCCACCCGUACCAGCCAGUACGGUAGCGACAGCCGGAUCGGAGCUCAUAAACCCCUUCCCAAACAGCACGCGACGGCUCACAGCACACUGAUUUCGCCUCUGUUUCUCGAGCCCCUGGGAUCUUCAGGGUUCUAUAAAGCCUCCUCCACACCUCUCUCACAGCAGCCUAUCGAUCCAGGACCUUGUUUCUCUCUCCCUCCCUCUCUCUGUCCACAUCCUUGCAGGCUUCACGAUGGACCAACAAACCCUCGUGGAGCUGGAGAAGGCUGUCGCCGCCGCCGUCGCCAAGGAAGGGGGAGCCGUCGGUUUUUCGGGGACGGAGGAGCAGGCGAGGACGAUCCUACGCGGGGUCAAGAUGGCGCUGGAGGAGGCCGCCGCCAUAGGGGAGUCCCCGCCGCUCCUGAGGUCGCUGGAGCGCUUCCUCGCGCAGAGGAGAUCGGACCAGACGUCCACCGCGCCGGCGCCAGCGCUGGCGGUGGACGUCCUAACGGACGGCGGAGAUUGCUCCAUCUCCGCGGCCUUGAAGGAUCUGGCAAUUAAAUAGGCUGGGCUUGCCGUUCCUUGAAUGAAAAGUUAUUCCUGGAAUUCGAUGUCUAUUUUCAGCUCAUUUAAUUUUUCCUUCUUCCAAUUUCGUUGUAGCGCAACUCUCGCUGUACUUUCCUUUUCUAGCCUGGAUCCGAUGAAGAUAUCGAUCUGGAAAUUAGUCAGAGAUUCUGCCAUGCUGUUGUUGCUCCCGUGCCUAAUAAGUUCUGUGUGUGAAUUGUGGCUCUCUACAUGUUAUUAGGCUCGUAAGUUGUAAAUGAUUUCUUUUUUUAUUUCGGUCGAUGCGUCCAGAAGUGACUCUACCCAACUCCGUUAUUCCAAAUCUAACCAACAUAUCAUGUUUUUUCUUCUCUUUUUUUGUUGAGAGGGGAUCAAUUUUUUUUUUUUUGCGGGUAAGAGGGGAUCAAUAUGUCUCUGUUAAAUUUUUGAUACGCAUGAGAGUUUGGCUUUAAGCUGAAUGACCGAGCAUGCCUACUACGGUAUGCCAAAAUUUUGUCCGAGUGAAUUAUACUUCCUCUGUCCGGAAAUACUUGUUGAAGAAAUAAAUAAAAAUAGAUGUAUCUAGAACUAAAAUACAUCUAGAUACAUCUAUUUCUUCGAUAAGUAUUUCCAAACGGGGAGAGUACGUUUAUCACUUUACCUCACACUUUAGUGGUGUAUAGAAGUAAAAAGUGCCCACUAGACAUGCGCCAACCGAGCCUAUUAGCUAAUCCACAAUAGUGUGGAUGUUGAUAUUGCUUCAUGCUCCUUUUUCUCUUGUGUUUGAACUUUCAGUCUGUGAUCUACUCCCUUCGUUCCUAAAUGUAAGUCUUUGUAGAGAUUUCACUAGAUGGACUACAUACGGAGCAAAAUGAAUGAAUCCACACUUAAAAUGCAUUUAUAUACAUCCGUAUGUAGUUCAUAGUGAAAUCUCCGCAAAGACUUAUAUUUAGGAACGGAGGGAGUAGAUCAAAUCUCAAUGCAACAUGUCAUGUGUUGGCAUUUAGGGCAAAUGACGUGCUGAGCACGAAUCCUCUUCUUUUUUCCGAAGCGACUCCCUGGAGUCCAACAUCCACAACGCUGCUCAAAGGACCAUGGGUGGGAGUGCGCCUACGACGAGACACGGUGUGGUGUGGGGCCCAACCAUGUGGGCUGAUCCACCUCUAUCUCUCUCUCUCACACCCAGACAUCAUUGUUUCUUCGAGUUUUUUCUUCUUGAGACUUCUUCUGCGCAAAGCUUCAAAUAAUUCUAAAAGUUGAAAAAUCUUGGAAGUAGGAAUUCUUAAAGAUUUUUUUUCUGAAAGAUAGAAUCUGAAAGUUGAAAUGCUUAAAGCGGAAUUCUAAAAAAAAAAUGGAAGUUCAAAUUUCAAAUAUUCCUGAAAUCCCAAAAAAUUCAAUUCUGAAAGACGAGGCCUGGUUUUCUGAAUGUUGAUACUAAGAAUUCUGAAAGUGCUAAAAAGGAAAGUUUGCCAAAAUAGAAAGUAACGAAAUGAGUACCAUUUUUUGCCUUGUCUAAACUACCGUGUGGGCUGGGGUACCACGUGUGUCUGUUGCUAGUCACACUAUUUCACAACCACAUGAUUUCAACUGUUCCAAAGGAUUUAUGCUCUUCUUGUUUUCUCAUGUUUGAAUUAUUAAUACGCGAUAUCAAAUAUCAGUGUAAUAUAUGUUUUCCGGAAAAUAAUGUGUUUAGUAUGAAUUACAAGUGUUGGAUGUAGCAUGUACACAAUAAGAGUUAUUUACGCAAAACAACCAGAGUUGGGGCUAGGACAACAAAUUGGUACCAGAUUUGUGCCGGGGAACAAAAACGCAUUGAAAUCACGCCUAAUCUGCAGCAUGGAGCAUAUAUGCUCGGAUUUGAUCGAGAAAACAACAAAACUGACAAGUUGGGAACAUCUGUCAGGUUGGCGUGGCAAAGACCAAGAACUUUGACCAACUGAUGUGGCAAAUGAGAUGUAGGCCCCACCUAUCAAUGACUAUAUCGCAACUUAUUCACAUCUAUUUCUAAGGGGCAUUCCAUCGAGCAGGUUCUGGGCAGCUGGAGUGGGAAUGUAUCCGGUGCACCCGCACUUGUGGUGCUACUGGUGCACCGGAUGCCAUAGAAAUUUUAAAAAAUUUGAAGAAAAAAAUCUAGCACGUUAACAAAACAUCAAUGUAUGAUGUCACAAAAAUUUGUAUAAAAAUAUGAAAUAUUUUUUGAGAUACAAAAAUGAAAAAUUUGACAUCAGUGUGAUAAUGGGUCAAAUCUAAAGCCCAAGUUUUGUUACGUAUUAUUCAAUGUUGAAUUUGUCAUUUUUGUUGUUUGAGCUAUAUUUUGAAUUUUGACUGAAAAUUUUGUGACAACCUACAUUGAUGUUGUGUAAGUGUGCUAAUUUUUUCAGAGUUUUUUGAACAUUUUAAAAGCAUAAAUUGAGUUCGGUGCACCGGUAGCACCACAAGCUCCGGUGCACCGGAUAUUUUUCCCCGACCGGAGUACGUCUGCUGCGUCCUGCCUCCGGUGAUCAGGGUGAAGGCCGCUGCGAAGAGGAGGCGCUCAGAGCUGCCCGUGCGUUUUUGUUUUUUUGCCUCCAUCAGAGCCGCCGGAGCCGUCACAUCGACAGCCCAGCCGGCCGCCAUGGCCAGCGUGAGGAGCCAUGGAGCCAUCGCGUCGCAUAGCGCAGCCAGCCGCCAUGGCCAGCGCGAGGAGCCACGCGGCCACUGCACGGUGGCUAAGGUGUGGCAGCGAGGAGCAGGCACGUGCACGCAAGUUGUCGCGGUCGUCCACACCCCGCCGCACCGAGCUUGCCUGCCAGUCGUCUCCCGCCCGGCCCCGGCUGUGAGCACCGCACCUCCUGCUGCCAAACAAUGACGGCUACAUGUCACGGGUGUAGGCAUACGAUACGAGCUCUACAACGCGCACGACGGCUCUCCAGGGAGUGACGUCUGGUGGAAUCCCAUGGGCGUCCAUGCUCCAGGGGCUUCUCGGAGCGCCGACGGUGGGUUACCGAAGGGGGAGGCGAGCUCGGGGGUCCACUAGGGGGCAGCGACGAGCUCCGUUUGUUCUUGCAGCAAGGCACCCAUGGCGGCGUCCGCUAAGAGCAUGCAAGGUCUACGGACGCCGCCCACAAGCUGCUUGUUGAAAUGCCAAUGGGAGAACAGAGGAAGAAAAAAAAAGAAAAA
rnacentral:lncRNA from 1 species